rnacentral:ncRNA from 1 species
UGCGCAGGGCAUGUUUCAUGACGAUCUUGGGAAAGCUCACCCCUUUGAGCCGUGCGGUGCGGAUAUAUUGCGCCGUCAUCACCUCGGUCAUCGAGGCGCGGGUCAUGCGUGCGAUAUAGCCCAUGCCAUAAAGGGCGAUAGUCAGAACCGGCAGCAGGAAGUUUUCGAUGUUGGGGCUUUC